rnacentral:lncRNA from 1 species
AUGAGGUUAAGUUAUUCUAGGUUCAAAACCUGGGUAUAUGUUCUAGACUAUGUACCCGAGAGGACAACUCGAGUCGAGGAGGGGGCUACAUGCGGGGAACCAAAAGGCCAUCUGGCUUUGUAACUUGUUUGAGCCUCUUUCUUAUUCCGAGGUAUGAUACUAAUAGAAUAGAGAGUCUCGACCAGCGAGCACAUCCCCGUAGAUGAGAAGAGAAGGUUUCGUAGCAAUUUAUAUACAGUUCAAAAAAUAUCAAAACGGUAAAAGCAACAAUUAACAUAUAGGCCCAGACAUGUAAUAAAAUCAGAUAUUAAACAAAGCCAAAUACAAUUAUUCCUAGCUCGGAUUCUUGAACCCUGAACCAGAGAUUCUAGGUUUGAUCCCCAACGGAGUUGCCCGAGCUGUCACACCUCCUUUUUACACUACACCAUGCGAAGGGCGUAGUUAAGGGAGUUUUUCU